UACAGAGGUCUCAAGCGUUGUUCGGAUUCAUUGGGCGUAAAGAGCUCGUAGGCGGUCGGGUAAGUCGGGUGUGAAAUCUCCGGGCUCAACUCGGAGGGGCCACCCGAUACUGCACGACUCGAGUCCGGUAGGGGAGUGGGGAAUUCCUGGUGUAGCGGUGAAAUGCGCAGAUAUCAGGAGGAACACCGGUGGCGAAGGCGCCACUCUGGGCCGGUACUGACGCUGAGGAGCGAAAGCGUGGGUAGCAAACAGG
rnacentral:rRNA from 1 species